rnacentral:rRNA from 1 species
AUUGAACGCUGGCGGCAGGCCUAACACAUGCAAGUCGAGCGGAGCGGCGGACGGGUGAGUAAUGCCUAGGAAUGUGCCUGGUAGUGGGGGAUAACGUCCAGAAACGGGCGCUAAUACCGCAUACUCACAGAUGAGGCUGGGUCGGAUUAGGUAGUUGGUGGGGUAAAGGCAUACCAAGGCGACGAUCCGUAACUGGUCUGAGAGGAUGAUCAGCCACACUGGAACGGAGACACGGCCCAGACUCCUACGGGAGGCAGCAGUGGGGAAUAUUGGACAAUGGGCGAAAGCCUGAUCCAGCCAUGCCGCGUGUGUGAAGAAGUUCUUCGGAUUGUAAAGCACUUUCAGUUGUGAGGCGUUACCAACAGAAUAAGCACCGGCUAACUCCGUGCCAGCAGCCGCGGUAAUUC